rnacentral:lncRNA from 10 species
GCCAGAGUAAGUGGUUUUUAAUAGUCAAAUUACCAACUAUUUGAAUAGACGGAAAGGUAGUUUUAUAAUCUGAGAUUCUCAAUCCUUGUGGCACAGUACCAUCAAGGAGAGCUUUAAAAAAAAAAAAAAAAGCAAAUGCCCCCAACUACCAUAACCAAUUAAAUCAGAAUCUCUCCAGGUCUGGGAAUAGAUAAUUUCUAAAGCUCCUGAGAUAACUAAAAGCCAUCUUGAAGGCCUAUCAAUUUAAGUAAAACAUGACCAAUAUGGUUACUCGUACUAACUUUAUUAAAAAACAAAACAAAACAAAAAAGCCUCAUAUUCCUCCAUUUGAGAACAGUACUUUCAAACACUGCUGGUGGGAAUGCAAAAUGCUUCAACUCAUAUGCAGAGAAAUGUAAUGGUGAAAUUACCUAGCAAUUUUACUGGUACGCUUCCCCAAGAUAAACUGGCAAAAAAUAUGCAGUGACACAUGCAAAAUGCUGCUCCAUGGUUCAUCCUGGCAUUAUUCAUAGCAACAUACAGCUGAAAACAACUCAAAUAUUCACCAAAUGGAGAGUGGUUAAAUAAAUUACAGUACAUCCAUAAAAUGCAACACAUAAAAUGCAGUUGUACAAAGCAAUGAGGAAGAUGGCUACGUUCCGAUAUGGAGUGAUCUCUAGGUUUAGGUUAAAAAUGGAAAUGUACAAAGCAGGCUGCAUUUUAUGUAAAAGGGGAGCAUAUAAAAAUCUAUAUAUUUACUUAUAUUUUUAAAAAGAAACAAAAUAUAAAUCAAAACAAUAAAAAUGCUUAUCUGUAGAUGGAAGGGAAAAGGACAGAAGCCAAAAUUCUGACUCUACCUUAUUUUGCCUACAUAAAACUACAUUAUACUCUCAACACAAUUAAAAAAUAAUAAAAGAAAAAGCAAUCCUAGCAUUAGAGAACAAAAAAACCUAACUAUUAAGUUGGUGGCUGUAUGACACAAAAAAAUUCUUUCAAGUGACUUUAAGCACAGUGUUUUGACAUUACAUUCUAGUGGGAUAUGUCCUAAAGACAAGGAAAACAAAAGCCCAAAUUGCAUUUAACAGUCUUAUUGUUAGUAGUAAUACUGUAUUAUUUAGAAACACAUAUAUGUUGUGAUACUUACAUAAGUAACAACAUCAUUUGAAGAACCAAGAUAUUCAGCAUAAGAUAAAAAUGAUACAAGUAUAACAUAACCCAAAAUUAGCCUGUAUUUAUAAAUUUGAAAUAUCACCAUUAAUUCAUGAUUUACCUAGCACUACCUACUGAAAAGACCCAGAAACAAUGACAACCAGUAGGAAUGAACAUGUCAGCAUCCAAAUUGUUGCUUCCAAAUAGUAUUAUCUAUUAAAAGGAUCACGGUUCCUUAGAAACAUGGCUGAUUCCAGGCAUGACGCAGGAAGUAUACAUGAGCCUGGGACGUCUUACUAUUCCAGAAAACAAGAAACUAUCAAAGAUAAAUGGGGGAAGGAAUUAAAAAAUACAGGAACCAACUUAGUAAUUCCUAAUGGCUACAGAUGGCACAAUGUGAACAUCAAAAAAGAAUGAUGACUGUAACUGAUCAUAAAUUCAAUACAUAAAAAAAACCUCAAAAUAAUAGACCUAGGCAAUAAUCAUAUGACAAUGGCUGUUAGAACCAUUAAAUGAAAGGACAAUGUGGAUCUUUAUAACAGAUGGAUUAAUCUUUCAAAAUCUAAAUCAAUUACUAAUUUUAGCAUCGCCAGAAAGACAUUCUAUACCUCCUAAAACGAUGUAACAGGAAGGCCGCUAUAUCAUUUAAGUAUUCUUGUGAAAGAAACUGGACAUGGAUCUGACCAACCCUCUGGAUCUGUGCCGUCCAAUAUGGUAGGCCACUAGCCACAUAUGGUCAUUGAAAUUUAAUUUAAAUUAAAAUUAAAACAUAGUUUCCGCCAGGCGCAGUGGCUCACGCCUGUAAUCCCAGCAUUUUGGGAGGCUGAGGCGGGUGGAUCACCUGAGGUCGGGAGUUCGAGACCUGCCUGACCAACACGGAGAAACCCCGUCUCUACUAAAAAUACAAAAUUAGCCGGGCGUGGUGGCACAUGCCUGUAAUCCCAGCUACUCAGGAGGCUGAGGCAGGAGAAUCGCUUGAACUUGGGAGGCAGAGGUUGUGGGGAGCUGAGAUCACACCAACCUUGGCAAAAAGAAUGAAACUCCAUCUCAAAAAACAAACAAACAAAAACAAAAACAACAACAACAACAAAGCAAAACAGAGUUUCUCAGCCUCACUAGUCACCAUCGAAGUAUUCAAUAGCUAGUGGCUACUGUAACGGAUAGCACAGGUAUGAAAAAUUUCUAUCACAGAAAGGUCUACUGCAUAGCCUCACUACAGAUCUAACCCACUCUACAGAAAAUGCAGCGUAUAGAGAAGCUAAUUAAAUGACAUAAAGAAGCAACCUAACAAAUCCAGAAUGUUGGGAAAUUCUGUAAUGACCUGGUUUCUUCACCAAAUAAAUGGAGGGAAGAGAAAAAGUUACAGUGGUAACAGCUACAGACUUGAGAGAGUAAAACAACCAAAAAUCAAACCGGAUAUGUGGAUCCUGUCUGGAUCCUGAUUUGAACAACAUAAUCAUAAACGAAACAUUUCUGAAACUAGAGAAAUUUAAACAUGAAUUAGAUACAAAUAAAUUAUUAAUUUUAUUAGGUGUGAUAUUGGCAUUGUCACUGGAAUAGCACUUAUCUUUCAGAGAUAUAUGCUAAAAUGCUGACUUUUUAAUGUGUGAAACACUAUGUCAAAGACUGCUUUAAUAUACUCCAGGAAAAAGCAAAAUAAAAAAAAUCAAAAGCAAUUUAUUGCCAGGUGCGGUAGCUCAUGCCUGUAAUCCCAGCAAUCUGGGAGGCCAAGGCGGGUGGAUCACCUGAGGUCAGGAGUUCGAGACCAGCUUGGCCAACAUGGUGAAACCUGGUCUCUACUAAGAAUUCAAAAACUAGCUGGGCAUGGUGGCGGGAACCUGUAAUCCCAGCUACUCAGGAGGCUGAAGCAGGAGAACUGCUUGAACCCAGGAGGCGGAGGUUGCAAGUGAGCCGAGAUUGUGCCACUGCACUCCAACCUGGGCGACAGAGUGAGAUUCUGUCUCAAAAAAAAAAAAAAAAAAAGUAAUUUAAAAAGCUGGAGGGUGUGGGGUGAUGAAACCAAACUGGUAAAACACUGACAACUGUGGCACAUCUAUGACUGGAGGGUCAUUAAACUCUUCCCUCCACUCUUCUACAUGUUUUAAAUUUUCUGCAAUAAAGCCACUGUCUAAUUCUGCCUGUCAUCUAAACCUACACUCCUUUGACUAUUUAUUCUGCUCCUCAGUUUAGAUUCCUCCAACUCAAUUAUCCCUUAGACCAUCUUUAUUAUUUAUUUAUUUAUUUAUUUAUUUUUGAGACAG